rnacentral:lncRNA from 1 species
CUUGGUGGUCAACAAUGCAUGCAGGCCCACGUGAACUGUGAACUCGCGUUUUAUUUCCCCGAAUCUAAGCACCGGGUCCGGACAUCAGUCCGCAUUUCAAUCCUCUCUAUAUUCCUUUCUUGCUUCACCAUUACAGUAACUUUUCUCAUCACUGUAACGGACCCAAUCAAGGAUGGGAUUAUUGAAGGUUGCUAAGUUAAA